CCUACGGGCGGCAGCAGUGAGGAAUAUUGGUCAAUGGACGAGAGUCUGAACCAGCCAAGUAGCGUGAAGGAUGAAUGCCCUAUGGGUUGUAAACUUCUUUUAUCUGGGAAUAAAAUGUUCCACGUGUGGGAUUUUGUAUGUACCAUAUGAAUAAGGAUCGGCUAACUCCGUGCCAGCAGCCGCGGUAAUACGGAGGAUCCGAGCGUUAUCCGGUGUUAUUGGGUUUAAAGGGAGCGUAGGUGGAUUGUUAAGUCAGUUGUGAAAGUUUGCGGCUCAACCGUAAAAUUGCAGUUGAAACUGGCAGUCUUGAGUACAGUAGAGGUAUGCGGAAUUCGUGGUGUAGCGGUGAAAUGCUUAGAUAUCACGAAGAACUCCGAUUGCGAAGGCAGUUCACUGGACUGCAACUGACGCUGAGGCUCGAAAGUGUGGGUAUCAAACAGGAUUAGAUACCCCAGUAGUC
rnacentral:rRNA from 1 species